UAAUACGGAGGGUGCAAGCGUUAUCCGGAUUCACUGGGUUUAAAGGGUGUGUAGGCGGGCAUUUAAGUCAGUGGUGAAAUCUCCGAGCUCAACUCGGAAACUGCCAUUGAUACUAUUUGUCUUGAAUAUCGUUGAGGUUGGCGGAAUAUAUCAUGUAGCGGUGAAAUGCUUAGAUAUGAUAUAGAACACCGAUUGCGAAGGCAGCUAACUAAGCGAUGAUUGACGCUGAGGCACGAAAGCGUGGGGAUCAAACAGG
rnacentral:rRNA from 1 species